rnacentral:rRNA from 1 species
GACGAACGCUGGCGGCGUGCUUAACACAUGCAAGUCGAACGGAAAGGCCCUGCUUUUGUGGGGUGCUCGAGUGGCGAACGGGUGAGUAACACGUGAGUAACCUGCCCUUGACUUUGGGAUAACUUCAGGAAACUGGGGCUAAUACCGGAUAGGAGCUCCUGCUGCAUGGUGGGGGUUGGAAAGUUUCGGCGGUUGGGGAUGGACUCGCGGCUUAUCAGCUUGUUGGUGGGGUAGUGGCUUACCAAGGCUUUGACGGGUAGCCGGCCUGAGAGGGUGACCGGCCAAAUUGGGACUGAGAUACGGCCCAGACUCCUACGGGAGGCAGCAGUGGGGAAUAUUGCACAAUGGGCGGAAGCCUGAUGCAGCAACGCCGCGUGCGGGAUGACGGCCUUCGGGUUGUAAACCGCUUUCGCCUGUGACGAAGCGCGAGUGACGGUAAUGGGUAAAGAAGCACCGGCUAACUACGUG